AGUGAACGCUGGCGGUAGGCCUAACACAUGCAAGUCGAACGGCAGCACAGUAAGAGCUUGCUCUUACGGGUGGCGAGUGGCGGACGGGUGAGGAAUACAUCGGAAUCUACUUUUUCGUGGGGGAUAACGUAGGGAAACUUACGCUAAUACCGCAUACGACCUACGGGUGAAAGCAGGGGAUCUUCGGACCUUGCGCGAUUGAAUGAGCCGAUGUCGGAUUAGCUAGUUGGCGGGGUAAAGGCCCACCAAGGCGACGAUCCGUAGCUGGUCUGAGAGGAUGAUCAGCCAAACUGGAACUGAGACACGGUCCAGACUCAGACGGGAGGCAGCAGUGGGGAAUAUGGGACAAUGGGCGCAAGCCUGAUCCAGCCAUACCGCGUGGGUGAAGAAGGCCUUCGGGUUGUAAAGCCCUUUUGUUGGGAAAGAAAAGCAGCAGGUUAAGACCCCGCUGUUCUGACGGUACCCAAAGAAUAAGCACCGGCUAACUUCGU
rnacentral:rRNA from 1 species